GUGCGGUUGGCGUAGUGGUCAACGCGUUCGCUCUCUAAAAGGUACUGGUCAGCACCCCCAGCCUUCGGUGCCGCCUAACAAGUGGUGGGUUAAACGGCUGCCGCCUUGGAGACUGCGAAAGAUCCUGGGUUCGAAUCCCAGACUGCACA